UCCGAGUUGACCCCGGCAGUCUCUCACGAGUCCCCGCCAUAACGCGCUGGCAACAUAAGAUAAGGGUUGCGCUCGUUGCGGGACUUAACCCAACAUCUCACGACACGAGCUGACGACAGCCAUGCACCACCUGCAUACCGACCACAAGGGGGGCCGUAUCUCUACGGCUUUCCGGUAUAUGUCAAACCCAGGUAAGGUUCUUCGCGUUGCAUCGAAUUAAUCCACAUGCUCCGCCGCUUGUGCGGGCCCCCGUCAAUUCCUUUGAGUUUCAGUCUUGCGACCGUACUCCCCAGGCGGCGAACUUAACGCGUUAGCUUCGACACUGACUGCCAAGUUGCAGCCAACGUCCAGUUCGCAUCGUUUAGGGCGUGGACUAC
rnacentral:misc_RNA from 1 species